GACGAACCGUGCGAACGUUGUUCGGAUUCACUGGGCUUAAAGGGCGCGUAGGCGGGUGUUCAAGUCCGGGGUGAAAUCCUCCAGCUCAACUGGAGAAUAGCCCUGGAUACUGAACGUCUGGAGGGAGGUAGGGGCAUGUGGAACUUCCGGUGGAGCGGUGAAAUGCGUAGAUAUCGGAAGGAACGCCGGUGGCGAAAGCGACGUGCUGGACCUCUUCUGACGCUGAGGCGCGAAAGCCA
rnacentral:rRNA from 1 species